CUCGCGUUCAAUGAUGAACAUGGGCAUAAUAAUAUAAAUUAAUUUAGGUAUAGUUAAUAUUUAAAUAACAAACAUAUCCUUAAUUGCAAAGUGUGAACGUCACCUUCCUUUCCAUAUUCUCGACCGGGGAAAAAACUGUUCGCAGAAGUCCUUGCUACGGGAAGAGCACAAACGACAAAGAUGAAUCGAAUUGUGGUUCUGCGAGCGAAGCUUUUCCAAAAACAAGAUUAAUAAUACUCCACUGGACAGAACCAGACUGAUUUGAGAACAUAUGUUUUCGCCGCUUCCACACGGUGAAACCCACAGAUGCAAAAGCGUCAUCGCGAAUAGCUUUGGAACCAAAUCAACAACAAAAGCGCAACCUAC